UACGUAGGGUGCAAGCGUUACUCGGAAUUACUGGGCGUAAAGCGUGCGCAGGCGGUUUUGUAAGUCUGUCGUGAAAUCCCCGGGCUCAACCUGGGAAUUGCGAUGGAGACUGCAAGGCUAGAAUCUGGCAGAGGGGGGUAGAAUUCCACGUGUAGCAGUGAAAUGCGUAGAGAUGUGGAGGAACACCGAUGGCGAAGGCAGCUCUCUGGGACGGUACUGACGCUGAGACGCGAAAGCGUGGGGAGCAAACAGG
rnacentral:rRNA from 1 species